AGCUCCAAUAGCGUAUAUUAAAGUUGUUGCAGUUAAAAAGCUCGUAGUUUGAUUUCUGGACGGGCGCCAACACCCGCUUGUUUGGUGAGGAGGCGGCGCCCGCCCAUCCUUCUGUUAACGCCACCGGCAUUCGUUUGCUGGCGGCGGGCUCAGAUAUUUUACCUUGAGAAAAUUAGAGUGUUUCAGGCAGGCUUGCGCCUAGAUACAUUAGCAUGGAAUAAUAGAAUAGGACUUUGGCCUCUUCUGUUGGUCUGAGGGGUUAGAGUAAUGAUUAAUAGGGAUAGUUGGGGGCAUUAGUACUUAACUGCUAGAGGUGAAAUUCUCAGAUUUGUUAAAGACUAACUUAUGCGAAAGCAUUUGCCAAGGAUGUUUUCAUUA
rnacentral:rRNA from 1 species